GCCCUUCCCUGGAAAGGCCCGAGGCUCUGUGUGGAAGGAGAUAAGAUGCCACAGCUUCCAGGAGACCUGCAUUAGCCAGAGCGAUGUCAGACACACUGUGUCCGGCACGAAGGCCCUCACCCAGGUGGAGGAUGGUGACUCCAUGCUGAGACCCCAGACUUCUGUUAGAACCUUCCUAAGCAUGGACUUGCAGAGCUGAAAGGAAGAGAGAGGAUGUGGACAGCGGCAAAGUAUUGAGAAGAGGAAGUCAUUUUACAGUUGCCGCAGCUGCUACUGAAUUUAGAUUGGAAAAAUGAUUUGCGCGAGCAAAGUGGAGAUCAGGACCUGGGUGAUCUGUCUGCUUUGAGCUGGUUGCAGGCAUUCCAUGUCUUCUGUUGGAAGCUGCUGAGACUACCAGACGGAGGCAUCUAGACUUCACAAUGCGGCUUUGCCUUCCCUGGGAGCUCUCGGUCUUGCAGUAGAAAGAGAAUGGAUGGAUAUUGUUGUGCCGUUCAGUAACUUCUGCGUCUCACUUGGCCAGCUCUGCCUUGAGUCAGUAAGCAUUUAAACCCUGGUGGCGCAGUGGUUAAGAAUACACCUGCCAAUGCAGGGAACACAGGUUCGAGCCCUGGUCCAGGAAGAUCCCACAUGCCGCGGAGCAACUAAGUCCA